UACGGAGGGUGCAAGCGUUAUCCGGAUUCACUGGGUUUAAAGGGUGCGUAGGUGGGCAGGUAAGUCAGUGGUGAAAUCUCCGGGCUUAACCCGGAAACUGCCAUUGAUACUAUUUGUCUUGAAUACCGUGGAGGUGAGCGGAAUAUGUCAUGUAGCGGUGAAAUGCUUAGAUAUGACAUAGAACACCAAUUGCGAAGGCAGCUCACUACACGAAUAUUGACACUGAGGCACGAAAGCGUGGGGAUCAAACAGG
rnacentral:rRNA from 1 species